GCGGGUAUAGUUUAGUGGUAAAACUUCAGCCUUCCAAGCUGACUAUAUGGGUUCGAUUCCCAUUACCCGCU
rnacentral:tRNA from 1 species